CCUACGGGAGGCAGCAGUGGGGAAUAUUGCACAAUGGGGGAAACCCUGAUGCAGCGACGCCGCGUGAGUGAAGAAGUAUUUCGGUAUGUAAAGCUCUAUCAGCAGGGAAGCAAAUGACGGUUCCCGAUUAAGCAGCGCCGGCUAACUACGUGCCAGCAGCCGCGGUAAUACGUAGGGCGCAAGCGUUAACCGGAUUUACUGGGUGGAAAGGGAGCGUAGGCGGCAGCACAAGUCUGGAGUGAAAUGCCGGGGGUUAACCCCGGAACUGCUUUGGAAACUGUGCAGCUAGAGUGCAGGAGAGGUAAGUGGAAUGCGUGGUGUAGCGGUGAAAUGCAUAGAUAUUAGGCGGAACACCAGUGGCGAAGGCGGCUUACUGGACUGUAACUGACGUUGAGGCUCGAAAGCGUGGGGAGCGAACAGGAUUAGAUACCCUUGUAGUC
rnacentral:rRNA from 1 species